AUUGAACGCUGGCGGCAGGCCUAACACAUGCAAGUCGAGCGAGUGGCGGACGGGUGAGUAAUGUCUGGGAAACUGCCUGAUGGAGGGGGAUAACUACUGGAAACGGUAGCUAAUACCGCAUACCAUCAGAUGUGCCCAGAUGGGAUUAGCUUGUUGGUGGGGUAACGGCUCACCAAGGCGACGAUCCCUAGCUGGGCUGAGAGGAUGACCAGCCACAUUGGAACUGCGACACGGGCCAGACUCCUACGGGAGGCAGCAGUGGGGAAUAUUGCACAAGGGGCGCAAGCCUGAUGCAGCGAUGCCGCGUGGAUGAAGAAGGCCUUCGGGUUGUAAAGUACUUUCAGCGGGGAGGCGUGACCCGCAGAAGAAGCACCGGCUAACUCCGUGCCAGCAGCCGCGGUAAUUC
rnacentral:rRNA from 1 species